rnacentral:rRNA from 1 species
ACGAACGCUGGCGGCAUGCCUAAUACAUGCAAGUCGAACGCGACUGAGAAGUGAGAAAUGGGAAGUAUGAGAGAAUUGCAGCGAACACUGAAAUUCCGGAAGUGGGAGGAAGUGCGCUUUCGUUCUCACAUCUAACUUCUCACCUCUCACUUCUCAGUUGAGUGGCGGACGGGUGAGUAACGCGUGGGCAACCUGCCCCAAAGCUCGGGAUAACACUCCGAAAGGAGUGCUAAUACCGGAUGUAGUUGCGGUGCUGCAUGGCACGGCAAAAAAGGAGAAAUCCACUUUGGGAUGGGCCCGCGUCUGAUUAGCUGGUUGGUGGGGUGACGGCCUGCCAAGGCGACGAUCAGUAGCCG